UAGGGAAUCUUCCGCAAUGGACGAAAGUCUGACGGAGCAACGCCGCGUGAGUGAAGAAGGAUUUCGGUUCGUAAAACUCUGUUGUUAGGGAAGAAAAAAUGUAUAGUAACUAUAUACAAAAGAGACGGUACCUAACCAGAAAGCCACGGCUAACUACGUGCCAGCAGCCGCGGUAAUACGUAGGUGGCAAGCGUUGUCCGGAAUUAUUGGGCGUAAAGCGCGCGCAGGUGGUUUAGAAAGUCUGAUGUGAAAGCCCACGGCUCAACCGUGGAGGGUCAUUGGAAACUAAUAAACUUGAGUGCAGGAGAGAACAGUGGAAUUCCUAGUGUAGCGGUGAAAUGCGUAGAGAUUAGGAGGAACACCGGUGGCGAAAGCGGCUUUUUGGCCUGCAACUGACCCUGAGGCGCGAAAGCGUGGGGAGCAAACAGG
rnacentral:rRNA from 1 species